rnacentral:rRNA from 1 species
GGGCCCGCACAAGCGGUGGAGCAUGUGGUUUAAUUCGAUGAUACGCGAGGAACCUUACCAGGGCUUAAAUGUAGUCUGACAGCUUUAGAGAUAGAGUUUUCUUCGGACAGAUUACAAGGUGCUGCAUGGUUGUCGUCAGCUCGUGCCGUGAGGUGUCAGGUUAAGUCCUAUAACGAGCGCAACCCCUGUCGUUAGUUGCCAGCAUGUAAAGAUGGGGACUCUAACGAGACUGCCGGUGCAAACCGCGAGGAAGUGGGGAUGACGUCAAAUCAUCACGGCCCUUACGUCCUGGGCCACACACGUGCUACAAUGGCCGGUACAGAGAGCAGCCACGUCGCAAGGCGGAGCGAAUCUAAUAAACCUAUCUCAGUUCGGAUCGGAGUCUGCAACUCGACUCCGUG